rnacentral:lncRNA from 1 species
ACUUGAUAAAAUUUAAAGGACAAUGUCUGUUUUUUGAUAAAUGGAUUGAAAGUGAUAUUCUAUUUAUAAAUGACAUAAUUGACAAUAGAGGACAAAUAUCAGAAAAAGUAAUCAAUUUAAAACUAAAAAACAAAAGUAAUUGGAUUGCUGAAUUUUCAAAACUUAAAAAAGCCAUACCAAAUAACUGGGAGGAGAAGCUUAAAACUGAGAGAUCAUUCAAAACUAAAGUAAAUAUUAACAGAGAAAAAAUUAGAUUAAGAGACCAUGAGGAUAUACUCGUCAUUAAUAAUAAAGAUAUUUAUAAGAUAGUGCAAAGUAGAAUAAAAACAGAAACACCCAUUGGUUUUUUGAAAUGGGAAAACAUAUUACAUACAGGAAAUAUAAAUAGUGAAUUCAAAGACACGAUAAAAUUCACUUUUGAAUACUUAAAAGAUAAUAAAAUUAAGAUGUUCAGGUGGAAAUUAAUGCACUUCAUCUUGGCAAAUAAAGAGCUAUUAUUUCAAUGGAAAAUUUCUGAAAACAGCCUUUGUUCAUAUUGUAAUGAACAAGACAACUACAAACAUUUUUUCAUCACAUGCGCAUAUAACACAAACUUCUGGAGAUCAAUGAGAGAUAUAUUUAACAAAAUAGGUAUUGACAAACAUGUUAUAAG